rnacentral:rRNA from 1 species
ACGAGUGGCGGACGGGUGAGUAACACGUAGGUAACCUGCCCAGAAGCGGGGGACAACAUUUGGAAACAGAUGCUAAUACCGCAUAACAACGUUGUUCGCAUGAACAACGCUUAAAAGAUGGCUUCUCGCUAUCACUUCUGGAUGGACCUGCGGUGCAUUAGCUUGUUGGUGGGGUAACGGCCUACCAAGGCGAUGAUGCAUAGCCGAGUUGAGAGACUGAUCGGCCACAAUGGGACUGAGACACGGCCCAUACUCCUACGGGAGGCAGCAGUAGGGAAUCUUCCACAAUGGGCGCAAGCCUGAUGGAGCAACACCGCGUGAGUGAAGAAGGGUUUCGGCUCGUAAAGCUCUGUUGUUAAAGAAGAACACGUAUGAGAGUAACUGUUCAUACGUUGACGGUAUUUAACCAGAAAGUCACGGCUAACUACGUGCCAGCAGCCGCGGUAAUACGUAGGUGGCAAGCGUUAUCCGGAUUUAUUGGGCGUAAAGAGAGUGCAGGCGGUUUUCUAAGUCUGAUGUGAAAGCCUUCGGCUUAACCGGAGAAGUGCAUCGGAAACUGGAUAACUUGAGUGCAGAAGAGGGUAGUGGAACUCCAUGUGUAGCGGUGGAAUGCGUAGAUAUAUGGAAGAACCCCAGUGGCGAAGGCGGCUACCUGGUCUGCAACUGACGCUGAGACUCGAAAGCAUGGGUAGCGAACAGGAUUAGAUACCCUGGUAGUCCAUGCCGU